GGGACAGUGGCCAAGUGGUAAGGUGUUGGCCUUGUGAAGCAAAGAUCAUGGGUUCAACCCCCAUCUGUGCCA